rnacentral:rRNA from 1 species
AACGAACGCUGGCGGCGUGCCUAACACAUGCAAGUCGUGCGAGAAAGUUCCUUCGGGAGCGAGUAAAGCGGCGCACGGGUGAGUAACACGUAGGUAACCUGCCCCCCCAGUCUGGAACAACUAGAGGAAACUCUAGCUAAUGCCGGAUGAGACCACGAUCCCUUCGGGGGUUGCGGCCAAAGAUGGCCUCUACUUGUAAGCUAUCGCUGAGGGAUGGGCCUGCGGGCCAUUAGCUUGUUGGUGAGGUAACGGCUCACCAAGGCUGUGAUGGCUAGCUGGUCUGAGAGGAUGACCAGCCACACUGGGACUGAGACACGGCCCAGACUCCUACGGGAGGCAGCAGUGGGGAAUAUUGCGCAAUGGGCGAAAGCCUGACGCAGCGACGCCGCGUGGGUGAUGAAGGCCUUCGGGUCGUAAAGCCCUGUCGCAGGGGAAGAAUAAGCAUCGGUAUAAUACGCCGGUGCCCUGACGGUAUCCUGCAAGAAAGCACCGGCUAACUCCGUG